GACGAACGCUGGCGGCGUGCCUAAUACAUGCAAGUAGAACGCUGAAGGAGGAGCUUGCUCUUCUUGGAUGAGUUGCGAACGGGUGAGUAACGCGUAGGUAACCUGCCUGGUAGCGGGGGAUAACUAUUGGAAACGAUAGCUAAUACCGCAUAAUAGUAGAUGUUGCAUGACAUUUGCUUAAAAGGUGCAAUUGCAUCACUACCAGAUGGACCUGCGUUGUAUUAGCUAGUUGGUGAGGUAACGGCUCACCAAGGCAACGAUACAUAGUCGACCUGAGAGGGUGAUCGGCCACACUGGGACUGAGACACGGCCCAGACUCCUACGGGAGGCAGCAGUAGGGAAUCUUCGGCAAUGGACGGAAGUCUGACCGAGCAACGCCGCGUGAGUGAAGAAGGUUUUCGGAUCGUAAAGCUCUGUUGUAAGAGAAGAACGAGUGUGAGAGUGGAAAGUUCACACUGUGACGGUAUCUGACCAGAAAGGGACGGCUAACUACGUG
rnacentral:rRNA from 1 species